GUGAACGCUGGCGGUAGGCCUAACACCUGCAAGUCGAACGGCAGCACAGUAAGAGCUUGCUCUUACGGGUGGCGAGUGGCGGACGGGUGAGGAAUACAUCGGAAUCUACUUUUUCGUGGGGGAUAACGUAGGGAAACCUACGCUAAUACCGCAUACGACCUACGGGUGAAAGCAGGGGAUCUUCGGACCUUGCGCGAUUGAAUGAGCCGAUGUCGGAUUAGCUAGUUGGCGGGGUAAAGGCCCACCAAGGCGACGAUCCGUAGCUGGUCUGAGAGGAUGAUCAGCCACACUGGAACUGAGACACGGUCCAGACUCCUACGGGAGGCAGCAGUGGGGAAUAUUGGACAAUGGGCGCAAGCCUGAUCCAGCCAUACCGCGUGGGUGAAGAAGGCCUUCGGGUUGUAAAGCCCUUUUGUUGGGAAAGAAAAGCAGCAGGUUAAUACCCCGCUGUUCUGACGGUACCCAAAGAAUAAGCACCGGCUAACUUCGUG
rnacentral:rRNA from 1 species